GCCUAGUGCUGGAGAAACAGCAGAGAUGAAAAUUGCUGCCUGAUACUCAUAUAAUGAGCAGCUCACAGCAGGGCAGAGGAACAAGGAUGACACUGCAUGGCAAAAUAAAGCCUGAGCCAUUCAUUGCAUAUUAGCUUCUCUUCAAUUCAAAGAAACAUGAAUCCCCUCCACAGCUAUUAUAAAUAAAAGUAACAUUACAGAAAUUGCUAUGUCAGGUAUAAUGUAGGUUGCACUUUUUCUCCCAAGUUCUCUUCUCUGGUUAGCUAUUCUUUAGCUCUGAAGAAUCUGAUGGGCUGUCCUAACAUGCACACUGAUGUAAUAAUGCAAUUACACUGUUACUAACCACCUGAAUAUAGAACACAACAUGCAUAAGUGAGAAAGUUGCUAAUACUCAACUACUGCCUGCCCUGUUAAGCAACUGCUGAUUCAAGAUAACAUAUUUGCCACUAAGCUUCCUAAGAAAUGUUUGGUGAGUUCUGCAGUUCAGGAGAGAACAGCAAGAAAGAUAAAACCACAGGGAUAAUCUAAUGUUUGUUUGGGGAUCUGGUGAUGUACAUGUCUUCCUGUCAUCAGAAAAAAAGCAGACCAAGAAUCACAAUGACUUACCACACUGUCUUGCUCAGCAAAUUUUUUUUUAGGAUAAAGUGCAAACACUGAAAAUGCUUAGCGCUUAUAUAUCAAGCAAUGCCGUUGUAAAUAUUAGAA
rnacentral:lncRNA from 1 species